rnacentral:lncRNA from 1 species
AUUAGGGGGCACCGGGGUCUGCUUUCCGACUCCCUUCCGACUCUGCGCCUGCGCAGGAAGCUUUUUGGGGAGUGUUGUGAAUUCCGAGGGCUCCACACUUAAAAGGUUGUACACUCACCUGUCUACCUGGACUCCAAUUUCCAUAUUUCCAGCCACUUGAGGACUGAGAGGUGGAUGAUAAACCCUGUCAUAGUGGAGCAAGUUCAGGUGUUUAACCGCUGUUACGGGGGAUCUGCCUUUUCUCCCUCUCCUUUCUUACUUCCAUGAGUAUGUAUGUGCAGAGAUUGAAAAAUGACCUUGAGAGAGUCCAUCCAUCUAACUCCAGGAGGAAAGACCAAAAAAGGAUAAAACACACCAAAGUUUGUUCAAUCCAGCCAGUCCCCAGCAAAGACCUAAAAGAAUGAAUUCAUUUUCUGAUCUUGACAUCUAUGGUUCUUCAUUGUUCAGGACACAGCUGAAGUAUUACCUU